rnacentral:rRNA from 1 species
UGAGGAAUUUUGCGCAAUGGGAGCAAUCCUGUCGCAGCAACGCCGCGUGGGUGAUGAAGGCCUUCGGGUCGUAAAGCCCUGUCAGGUGGGAAGAAUGUCCCGGGACUGAACAGGUUUUGGGAGUGACGGUACCACCAGAGGAAGCACCGGCUAACUCCGUGCCAGCAGCCGCGGUAAUACGGAGGGUGCAAGCGUUAUUCGGAAUUACUGGGCGUAAAGCGCGUGUAGGCGGUCCUGCAAGUCUGAUGUGAAAGCCCCGGGCUUAACCCGGGAAGUGCAUGGGAAACUGGGGGACUUGAG